rnacentral:misc_RNA from 1 species
GAUGAAGAACGUAGCGAAAUGCGAUAAGUAAUGUGAAUUGCAGAAUUCAGUGAACCAUCGAAUCUUUGAACGCACAUUGCGCCCGCCAGUAUUCUGGCGGGCAUGCCUGUCCGAGCGUCAUCUCAACCCUCGAGCCCCCCCGGGGGCUCGGCGUUGGGGACCGGCCCCGCCCCAGGGCGCGCCGCCCCCCAAAUACAGUGGCGGUCCCGCCGCAGCCUCCCCUGCGCAGUAGCUUGCACACUCGCACCGGAGAGCGGCGCGGCCACGCCGUAAAACCCCCCGACCACGGAGCCCCGGCUCCUGAACGUUGACCUCGGAUCAGGUAGGAAUACCCGCUGAACUUAAGCAUAUCAUAAGCGGAGGA